GAAGACACCCCAGGGCAGCCUCCACCUCAGGUCGAGCAGGGCACAGACCAGAGGAACAAGUAAUGACUCCCAAGGCAGACAGCUCUACCGGCCAUCAGCCUACACUUGGUCAAGCCUUGCACAGGAAAUGCAGAACACAGGGAGAGUUCUCCACUGCCAACUCAUGCCCACCCAUUGCAGGAGCCUAGAAAAUCGAGGCUCCAGAGGCUGACACUCCCCCAUCAGACUAGCCUGUCGGAGAACUUCACGUAGCCACCAUCUGAACUGCUGACGUGGCCACUGAUGGUGAAGGGUGGACCCACCUCCGGCUCCUUCAGGUUCCUGAGAAAGAUGAUCCGAUUGGGUUUUUGGGGCUGAGAACCCGAUCUCUCCUUGGGACCACAACUCCUUAGACCAGCGCAUGGGAAGAACUUCCCGGCAGUGACUCCCCAGACUGACUUACAUUCCAGAACAGGAGUAGGACCAUUACUUGGGGCCAGAGGAGGAGGAGGAGGCCUGCCCUGUGGCAAAGAGUGGACAAGACGGCUCGGGAGGACUUUCUGACCCCCACUCCCUAAAUCCCUGGUGGUCUUCAUUUGUUCCUUUCCUUUGACGUCACACUGUGCCCGAGGUUAUCUGAUUUGUAGUCAGGCCUGUGUCCACCACCAGCAGUGACAUGGCUGAAGACAAGAGACCACACUCACUGUACCCCUAGACACUAACUCCACAGCCCCUGUGACAAUAGAUCCUUCCUGAAUAAAUGAUGAGUGAAUGAA